GGCUGGUCCGAGUGCAGUGGUGUUUACAACUAACUAAUUGAUCACAACCAGUUACAGAUUCCUUUGUUCCUUCUCCACUCCCACUGCUUCACUUGACUAGCCUAAA
rnacentral:Y_RNA from 1 species